rnacentral:rRNA from 1 species
AGGACAAACGCUGGCGGCGUGCUUAACACAUGCAAGUCGAACGGUUCACCUUCGGGUGAAUAGUGGCGGACGGGUGAGUAACACGUAGUUAACCUACCGUUUAGUGGGGAAUAACCCCUCGAAAGAGGAGCUAAUACCGCAUAAGCUCUCACCUGUUAGGGAGAGAGGAAACCUCGGUUCAUACCUGGGGCUAAAUGAUGGGACUGCGGCGGAUUAGCUAGAUGGUGGGGUAAAGGCCUACCAUGGCGACGAUCCGUAGCUGGUCUGAGAGGACGACCAGCCACACUGGGACUGAGACACGGCCCAGACUCCGUACGGGAGCAGCAGUGAGGAAUA